rnacentral:tRNA from 1 species
GGAGAGGUGGCUGAGUGGUCGAAAGCGCCGGUUUGCUAAACCGGUGGGUGGGAAACUGCCCCGCAGGUUCGAAUCCUGUCCUCUCCG